GGAGCAGUAAUCCUCCUACUCUGCUCCUUCGCAGGCCCUAUAUUGAUGCCAGGAGCCGGAAUAUGAUGUCAUAUUCCGGCUCCCUGCAUCAGUAGAUGACCUGCAAGGGAGCAGAGCAGGAGGGUUACAGCUCUCUCGCCUCCCCUGAUGUUCUCACAGCUGCCAACCUCACAGCAGCCACACUGGACCCCGGGGACAGAUCCACUCCAG